UACGUAGGGUGCGAGCGUUGUCCGGAAUUACUGGGCGUAAAGCGCGCGCAGGCGGUCUUCCAAGUCAGUGGUGAAAGCCCGGAGCUCAACUCCGGAACUGCCAUUGAAACUGUGAGACUAGAGUACGAGAGAGGUGAGUGGAAUUCCCAGUGUAGAGGUGAAAUUCGUAGAUAUUGGGAAGAACACCGGUGGCGAAGGCGGCUCACUGGCUCGUUACUGACGCUCAGGCGCGACAGCGUGGGGAUCAAACAGG
rnacentral:rRNA from 1 species